AUGGUAGGGAUUCCCCGCGCAUUCUCAAUCCCUAGCGCCCAAUUUCCCGCCAAUAUAAGAUCCUUGCCUGCUCCGGCGAUAGCCGCAGCCCUGAGACCUCACAGGAUGCCGAGGAAAGCAGCUCGCGGCGCCACCGCCGCCACAGCGCCCGCCGCAAGCAAGUACUGGCUGCUGAAGACGGAGCCGGGGGAGUGGUCGUGGUCGGACCAGGCGGGCGCGCCGGGGGGCAUCGGGCCGUGGGACGGCGUCCGCAACCACCAGGCCAUGAACUACCUCCGCGCGAUGCGCCGCGGCGACCGCUGCCUCUUCUACCACUCGGGCGCCGGCGCCGCGUCGCGCCGCGUGGUGGGCGUCGUCGAGGUCGCCAGGGAGUGGUACGAGGGCGGGGAGGUGGAGGCGACGGCCGGCGGCGCCGUGGACGUGCGGGCCGUCGGGGAGUUCCAGAGGCCCGUGGGGCUCGGGGAGAUCAAGAAGGCGGCGGCGGCGGGGGAGGUGGAGGGGAUGAAGGACUUCGCGCUGAUCCGGCAGGCCCGGCUCUCGGUGAUGCCCGUGCCGGUGGAGGUCUGGGACUGGGUUUGUGAGAUGGGGGGUGGCUUUGUUCAGGAUGGGGAGGUGGGAGAACAUGAAGCAGAGGGUUGA
rnacentral:rRNA from 1 species